rnacentral:rRNA from 1 species
AACGAACGCUGGCGGCAUGCCUAACACAUGCAAGUCGAACGAGACCUUCGGGUCUAGUGGCGCACGGGUGCGUAACGCGUGGGAACCUGCCCUUAGGUUCGGAAUAACUCCCCGAAAGGGGUGCUAUUCCGGAUAAUGUCUUCGGACCAAAGAUUUAUCGCCUUUGGAUGGGCCCGCGUUGGAUUAGCUAGUUGGUAGGGUAAAAGCCUACCAAGGCGACGAUCCAUAGCUGGUCUGAGAGGAUGAUCAGCCACACUGGGACUGAGACACGGCCCAGACUCCUACGGGAGGCAGCAGUGGGGAAUAUUGGACAAUGGGCGAAAGCCUGAUCCAGCAAUGCCGCGUGAGUGAUGAAGGCCUUAGGGUUGUAAAGCUCUUUUACCCGGGAUGAUAAUGACAGUACCGGGAGAAUAAGCUCCGGCUAACUCCGUG